GAAACGUGUUGUUCUUCAUCAGUUUUUCUGCCCAGCUCGGUAGAUGUUUUGAGGAAUCCUGAAAGUUGACGGACAUCACUAUGACCGACAGAAUACACGACACGACACUGAAGCACAAGGUGAUUGCGAGAUACAUGCAUUGGGUGAGAACCAUACGUACAUAGAACUGAGACAUCGAUAGAUGUUGAUGGGAUUUUAUCCGUGAUUAUUGUUAGUAACACAGCCAGAGACAGCAGUACUGUGAGGAUGAAUCCAAUCUGUAAUAAUGAAAUGCAUAUGAAACAGUGAUUCCACAGGCAGAAAAAAUACGAGUGUGUUGAGGUACGACAACAGAAACACCGGAAGCAGUAUGCCUGUGACGUAAUAUGCUGUCCUUCUCUCUGUCACCAUUGAAAACACGACCACCCAAUGUUUUGUUAUUGAGCCAUUUGCUCGAAUUUCCGUCAAUUUCUCUUUCCUGACGCUGGAUUUCAGUAAAUGCCACUCGCCGUUAGUGCAGAAUUGUUUAUGUGACGUCAGCGCAUAACGGAUACCAGUUGCAGAAAUGUUUGAAAAGAGGAAAGCAAUGCUUGACUGCGUCUAUAUUUCGGUGCAUUUGAGACGUUUGAAGCGAUAGAAUAGAAGAUAAAU